AUGUUCACCAUCAGUGCUUGUAGACUUAUUCAUGUAAAUCUGAAGCUUCCAUUUGAGCUGACGUUUCUUUAUUUUGGUGAGGCAAACAGCAUCGACUCGACCAUGCCCGCCGAGGCUUUGUUUGCCAGCGAAGUUAGAAGCCCUUUGAGUGCGACCACGGCUUCAUCUUUGGUGGUUACAGGAUGCCGAGAAGGUGAAAGUGAAACUAAGAAGAAACUAAGUGUUAAAGAUGUACAACCCUACAGCCCUGUGUAUCUUAUUUCUAAAAAAGCGUGGCAAGGUGCUGAAAUCUUCAGAAGUGGUUAA
rnacentral:rRNA from 1 species